GGGACAUGGGUAAACCUGUGACUGAUCCAUGUUGAUGUUUGGUAGAAACCAACACAAUACUGUAAAGCAAUGAUCCUUUAAUUAAAAAUAAAUAAGUAAAUAAAAUACCUGUUGAGAACCUUUAUAUGCCAGGCAUCAUUUUAGAGACGAAUACAACACUUGUCAAAGACCAAAUGUCUGUCCCUACGGAAUUUACAUCCUAAAGGAGAGGAACGAAAUGCACAAAAUAGGUAGGUGGUAAGAAUCAUGAAGAAAAAUAAAGCAGGGGUGGGGGACAGAGCCGUGGUUCCCACAUUAUGAACGCUGAUCCCCCAGGGCACCACAGAGACCCUGCAGUGGUGUUACCGCGUAUGUCAGAUUUUUCAGGAAAUCACAGCUCUGUUGAUUGGAUAUCACACAGUUACUUGCUUGAGGUAGUUCAUAGUUUACUGUUUAUUGCAACGUUCUUUUGGAUGACGUAUCUUUGUAAACCUGGGCUUUAGCAAUUGAUGUGAGAAAAGCAAAUAGCACACAAAAAUUAGUGACAGAAAAUGUUCGGUAUGAUUACAAUAUUUGAGAAACUGUGGUGUCCAACAGGUGCUAAAUUGUUAGGCCUUUAAUACCUCUGAGUUGUUUGAACUGUGUUCUGAAACUGUUGUGGAAUUCCGUUUCAUGUAGGUGUACUGUGCAAACUGGUGGAAUCAGCAGUAUUGGAGAAUGGUGUGUAACUGAACUCAUUAACUCAUUAGUCUUACCACUCAGUUUGUUCCCUGUUAUUCCUUUAUUACCUUCCUUUCCAUCCCAAUCUGCCCUGAUUUCUGUGAUCUUUCACUUCGGCCGUGUAGCUAUACCCUUGAUGUCACUGUCUGCUUUUUCCUCAUCUGCUGCUCCACCAAGGUAACCGCUCACUUGCCAAAAUUAAUAGUGUAUUCAUCAGUAUAAGAUCGAUAUGUUACCCUAUGAGACUUGAGAAUGUUAUUAACUCUCUCCUGCUUUUAAAUCACUACUGCCUGGUUUGUAUACUGCCUAACUCUCCUUUAGGUUAUAGUUCUUCUUUUUAAAAUAGUGGUAUUCUCUGGGAUUUCAUGUUUAGGACUCCCACUUUAUACAUCCAUUACUUCAGAUAUUAGCUGUACUCAAAUCUAUAGCACCAACCUAAACCUCAUUUCUGAGCUUCAGAUCUGUGUUUGAAAUUCUGUUUGGCAUUUCCAACUCAUAUUUAAAACUACACUUAUUUUUCUUCCCUCCUCAGGGAAUGAAUGAUAUUAACAUAUACUCAGUCCAGAAUUCUAUAACUUAGCCUAGAUCUUCACGAUUUGCCUGGAGGCCGCCGCCUCAUUAUUCAGUUCUAACAACUCCAGGUAGUGGAUUGCAAAAUAACCAUAGUUCUCUAUCGUUCCUGGUACCCAUGGCCUUUGCACUGUGACUGCGCAGCUCCUCCCAUUGGCAAUGCCAUCCAUGUUAUAGUUCCCUAAACCUGGAACUGGUCUUGUUUCUUGAUUUGCUAGAAAGAGUGUGGGCAGUGUGACAUUAGGGAAGCUUAGGCGCUAGGCUGUGGAGCUGUGUCCUUUCACGCCUGUGCUGCUGCAAACCUGCCCGGCUGCUGUGGGAACAAACCCAGCCCUGUGGAGAAUGUGGAGCAGAGGCAAAGCCAUCCUGCACCAGCCAGCUCACGCCAAGUGCAGACGCACCAAGGACCCCAGCCAAGCUCUGAAGGACCGCCUGGCUGAUCCCACCAGCCCAGACUGCCAAGUUAGGCAGAAGACAAAAUGUACAGCCCAGCAGAGGUGGGGAAAGCCAGCCCCUAAGGACUACACCCUCAAGGUAAGAGUGUGCCAGAAGUGAACCAGCUCCAGUGUUGCUGCAGAAUUGGUCACCCCAAAUUCAAAUUGUCUGGGUGCUAAAACAACUUAAGUUGUGAAUUUAGCGGCCCCAGAAUGAAUACCUGGCAGAUGUGGACAAAUCUUUGGAGGAUGCUAGGUUCACAAACAGUUUUCCUAGGAAAUGAAUGCCUUUUAAGUUUAAAUGAACAAAGUCCGUAAGGAAGAGACUAGCAUCAUGAAUGAAAGGCAGCAAAGCCCACAAGAGAACAACUUUGAAAUUAGCACAUGUAUAGUACAAAACAUCUGUGUUUAUAUGUUUAAAAAAUAAAAAUCAAGUUUUAAAAUAUCUACAGGGAACAAGGCAUUAUGAAAACUGACUUAGCAUAUGUGAGAAGGAACCAAGUAGAAAUUCUAGAAAUGGAAAAUAGAAUAAUUAAAAUUAAAAAUAAGCCAAUGAGGAGGUUUAACUCAGGAUUCGAUGGGCCUGAAAAGAGAACCAGUGAAUACAGAACAGAACAGGAUGUAACACUGAAGGGAAACUUGAAAAUGAGAGUGGAGAAUGAAGCUAAAGGGUCUAAUGUCUAGCUGAUAAUAGUCUCAGAUAGAUAAAUGGUGCGGAAGCAAUAUUUGAAGAAAUAACUGGUGAGAAUUUUUAAAUCAAUGAAAAAUAUCAGUCCACAGAUUUUAUCCCAAGUAGGACAAGGAUGAAAUGCUCAGUUGGGUAAACAAUAGUGAAACAGUAGGAUGCUAAGGACAAAAAGCUGUGAAAGCAGCUAACAUAAGUCAUGUAAUAACCUUCAGAGCAGCGCCAGCUAGACUUUUCUUUAGCUGACUUCUCAACAGCAGCAGUGGAAGCCAGAAACCAGUUGGAUAACUGUCUACAAUGUGUGAGAGAAAAAUAAUUUUCAACUUAAAAUUCUACACUCAGCAAAUUUAUCUCAAGAAUGAUGGUUGAAUACAGUUUAAGACGGCAAAGCACGAGCAUGGUUGCCCCCUGCAGGUUUGUUCUUAUUAAAGGAAAUGCUUUAUAUGGUAUAUAGAAAGGUAAUGAAAGAAGGAAUAAAGGACCAAGACUGUUACUUAGAUUAAUCUAAAGGAACAUUUACCAUAUGGAACAGUAAUGAUGUUUCCUGGGGUUAAGAAGUGAGGGAUUUAAAAACACAAGAAUAACAUAUAAGUUGGUAGAGUAGUGAUUGGAACAAAAUCCAUUACUUUUUUUUCAUUAAAAGGAUUAAAGAGUACAAAUGCAAGCCUCAGAGUAUGAAGAAAUGGUUGCACCUCAGAUAAUGGCCAAAGAAAUAAUACUCAGAACAUCUAAAUUCCUACAUAUCAGUGAGAAAGAUGUAAAAUCAAAUAGAAAAUAGGCAAAAAAACUUGAACAAGUAAUUCACAAAUAGGAAACCCACAUGAUCAGUAAACAUAAAAGAUAUCCUUUGCCUCAUUUGUAAUAGAGAAAUGAAAAUAUAAAUCAGUGGUACUGCAUCACACAACUUCCAGAUUAAAAUAAGGAAGUUGACAAAUAACAAAUGCUGUCAAAGAUAGGAAGUAAUGGAAACUCUGUUAUCCUACUAAUGGGAUUAUAACCUCUUUGGAAAACAUUUUGACAUUCUCUUACAAAUUUGAAGGUGUUUAUAGUAAACCCACUCAAGCACUCUUGCCUGGAAAAUUCCAUGGAUGGAGGAGCCUGGUAGGCUACAGCCAAGGAAAAGAGUUGGACAUGACUGAGCGACUUCCCUUUCCUUUCCUUUCCAUAGUCUGUACUUACUGUUGCAUUAUGAUGUGGUAAUUGAGUACAGACUUUGCUGCCCACUGUAUGGACUUGAUUCCCAUCUUUCUAGUUCUGUGACCUUGAGCAUAGGACUUGAUACAUAAAAAGAGUAAGGUUUUGUCUCUCCUCCCCUAGCCCCUUCCUGCAAGAAUCAGUUUUGCCUUCUUAAGAUUUUUGUGAGGGUGAAGUGAGUCAAUCAUUGUGAACUACUCAGAACAGUACCUGGAAAAGAAUAAACACUACAAAGUGCUUGCUGUCAUUGUUACCUGCGAAUCCCGUUGUUGUUAAUAUUACUUCACACCAACAACCCAUCCUGCGUGUACUUGUGGACGAUUAGGGUGCUAUACAAGAAUGCUCAUGUGAAGAGAGAAUCACUUUAGCAGCUACAAGUUGGAAAUGGUCCUAAUGUCCUUCAUUAGUAGAAUGGAUAAGAAGUUAUGGUAUAGUCAUGUAGAAAUGAAACGGAAUGGUAUACCUUCUCAUAAUACUAAUUGAAAGAAGUCAAAUAUAUAUAGUAUGAAUUCAUUUGAAGAAGUUCAAAAACAGGCCAAAUGAAACAAAAGUUGUAAGAGAUGCAGAUAUUAAUGGUAAACUUGUCAAGAAAAGCAAGUAAAUAAUAGUCAUAAAAACUGGGAGGAUGGUUAUUUGCAUGGGAACAAGGUUGUGUGACUGGGAAUGGACACAUAGGGUCUUCUGUGGUCCUAGGAGGCAGUGUUUUAUAUUUUGACUAGGUGAUAUUCGUGUGAAUAUUUAUCAUGAUUCUUUAAUUUUGUUUUAUACAUUCUCCUGUAUAUAUGGUAUACCUCACUAUUUAAUUUUUUAAACUAGUAAAAACUUUGGAAGUGGGAAAGAUAGCUAUUGUUCAAAAUAACAGCAGAGGAAACAGAGAAAUAAUAAAAAUCUCUGAACUGAAAGACUUUUGGAGACAUUUGCUUAAGGUCAUAGAAAAAAGGUAAGAUGGUUGAAGAAGAUACCAAUAACCUCCUGCUCUGCCCAAUACCCAGCAUAGUGGGCCUUGUUUAAAAAGCAUUUCACCAUUGACUAUGGUGUUGGAUUUUUAAAACUACAAAUUACUGGGUAAUUAUUUUCCUUCUUUAUUGGUAUGGGAUAGAUUACCAGUUUAGAGGGUUAGAGUUUUUAAAAGCUCUCUAGGAAAUUUUGAUGAAUUUCUGAGAUUGAGUUUUACUGCUUUACAAAAACAACAGUCCAUCAUUAAAUAAAACCAAUAAAGCAGGGGAAUAAUUAUUUUAUUUCAAUUAAGGAGCAACCACAAGUUUUCUUUCCGUCAGCUUAGUUAGCUCCCCUCUUUUAGCAUAAACCAACUCUCCACAAUUUUGAUGUAUUCAUAACAUUUCAUGAAGUUGGUCAAAAUGGUGAUGUAAGAACUUACCCAUUUGUGAGAGAAAUAAAAAGUGUUAGUUCUGUGUCUGCACUUGUCGCUUUAAUUCAUCUGUUAUAAAAGUCUUUGCUUUCUAGCCCUGGCACCAUUUUAUAUUGAUAUGUUUCAAAUAAACUUGGCUUUGCAGUGAACACUUGGGGUUGUUUGCAUUUUCUCUUUGGUUUGUAAUUUUGUUCUUUCAUUCAGAGACCUGGUAGAAAAAAGACUAGAGGAUCUUUGUAAUGUCACUUAGGUUCAUACAAAAUUAUUGACUUUGAAGAUGAUGGUAAGUUUAUAUAGCCUAAUGUUGUUUUUCAUCCUUUCAUUCUCAGAAAUGAUUUAGAAAUGUGUUUUGACUCUCAAGAUGAGUGAAUGUGAAACAGAAAUUCACUUGUUCCAACUAAUUUUGUGUUCUGGAUUUCUGACAGAAACAUACAGAAAUGCUGGGUUCAGUUGGCAGUUAUCAUGAGCUUUAACAGAUGUAUCAUUUCUGUACAAAUUUUAAGAUUAACUGAUUCUAUUUUAGCAAAGAAAUAAUAGAAUUCAGUGCUAUAUACCUGAAAUAGUACACUCUCUUCAGGGUUUAAAACAUCUUAGUGCAAAA